GUCGCGGGCGUUGGAAAUUUGAGAGGAGCUGUCCUUAGUACGAGAGGACCGGGAUGGACUUACCGCUGGUGUACCAGUUGUCUCGCCAGAGGCAUCGCUGGGUAGCUAUGUAGGGAAGGGAUAAACGCUGAAAGCAUCUAAGUGUGAAGCCCACCUCAAGAUGAGAUUUCCCAUUUCUUUAAGAAAGUAAGAUCCCUGAGAGAUGAUCAGGUAGAUAGGUCAGAAGUGGAAGGCCAGUGAUGGUUGGAGCGGACUGAUACUAAUCGAUCGAGGACUUAACCAA
rnacentral:rRNA from 1 species